rnacentral:rRNA from 1 species
CUACGGGACGCUGCAGUGGGGAAUAUUGGGCAAUGGGCGCAAGCCUGACCCAGCAACGCCGCGUGAGGGAAGAAUGUCUUCGGAUUGUAAACCUCUGUCCCAUGGGACGAACAAAUGACGGUACCAUGGGAGGAAGCUCCGGCUAACUACGUGCCAGCAGCCGCGGUAAUACGUAGGGGGCGAGCGUUGUCCGGAAUUACUGGGCGUAAAGGGUGCGUAGGCGGCAUAAUAAGUCAGAUGUGAAAUACCCGGGCUCAACUCGGGGGGUGCAUUUGAAACUAUUAAGCUUGAGUACAGGAGAGGAAAGCGGAAUUCCUAGUGUAGCGGUGAAAUGCGUAGAUAUUAGGAGGAACACCAGUGGCGAAGGCGGCUUUCUGGACUGUCACUGACGCUGAGGCACGAAAGCGUGGGGAGCAAACAGGAUUAGAUACCCGUGUAGUC